rnacentral:rRNA from 1 species
AACUACUGGAAACGGUGGCUAAUACCGCAUAACGUCGCAAGACCAAAGAGGGGGACCUUCGGGCCUCUUGCCAUCAGAUGUGCCCAGAUGGGAUUAGCUUGUUGGUGAGGUAACGGCUCACCAAGGCGACGAUCCCUAGCUGGUCUGAGAGGAUGACCAGCCACACUGGAACUGAGACACGGUCCAGACUCCUACGGGAGGCAGCAGUGGGGAAUAUUGCACAAUGGGCGCAAGCCUGAUGCAGCCAUGCCGCGUGUAUGAAGAAGGCCUUCGGGUUGUAAAGUACUUUCAGCGGGGAGGAAGGUGUUGUGGUUAAUAACCGCAGCAAUUGACGUUACCCGCAGAAGAAGCACCGGCUAACUCCGUGCCAGCAGCCGCGGUAAUACGGAGGGUGCAAGCGUUAAUCGGAAUUACUGGGCGUAAAGCGCACGCAGGCGGUCUGUCAAGUCGGAUGUGAAAUCCCCGGGCUCAACCUGGGAACUGCAUUCGAAACUGGCAGGCUUGAGUCUUGUAGAGGGGGGUAGAAUUCCAGGUGUAGCGGUGAAAUGCGUAGAGAUCUGGAGGAAUACCGGUGGCGAAGGCGGCCCCCUGGACAAAGACUGACGCUCAGGUGCGAAAGCGUGGGGAGCAAACAGGAUUAGAUACCCUGGUAGUCCACGCCGUAAACGAUGUCUACUUGGAGGUUGUGCCCUUGAGGCGUGGCUUCCGGAGCUAACGCGUUAAGUAGACCGCCUGGGGAGUACGGCCGCAAGGUUAAAACUCAAAUGAAUUGACGGGGGCCCGCACAAGCGGUGGAGCAUGUGGUUUAAUUCGAUGCAACGCGAAGAACCUUACCUGGUCUUGACAUCCACAGAACUUUCCAGAGAUGGAUUGGUGCCUUCGGGAACUGUGAGACAGGUGCUGCAUGGCUGUCGUCAGCUCGUGUUGUGAAAUGUUGGGUUAAGUCCCGCAACGAGCGCAACCCUUAUCCUUUGUUGCCAGCGGUCCGG